CCCUUAGAUGUUCUGGGCAGCACGCGCGCUACAAUGGUCUUCGCAAACGGAUGCAUUCUCGAAGGAGAAUGCCAAUCUUGGAAUCUAUGCCUUGGUCGGGACAGUUGCUUGCAAUUUUUCGACUCGAACCAGGAAUUCCUUGUAAUCGUGAUUCAUCACAUCACGAUGAAUACGUCCCUGCCCUUUGUACACACCGCCCGUCGCUCCUACCGAUCGAAGAGUUAGGUGAAUUGUUUUGAGCGAUAAGAUUUGACUAUGGUCAGCUCUCGUUGUGAAAUUCUGUGAAUCUGACUGUUUAGAGGAAGGAAAAGUCGUAACA
rnacentral:rRNA from 1 species